rnacentral:rRNA from 1 species
UACGUAGGGUGCAAGCGUUAUUCGGAAUUACUGGGCGUAAAGCGCACGUAGGCGGCUUUGUAAGUUAGAGGUGAAAGCCCGGAGCUUAACUCCGGAACUGCCUUUAAGACUGCAUCGCUCGAAUCAUGGAGAGGUCAGUGGAAUUCCGAGUGUAGAGGUGAAAUUCGUAGAUAUUCGGAAGAACACCAGUGGCGAAGGCGACUGACUGGACAUGUAUUGACGCUGAGGUGCGAAAGCGUGGGGAGCAAACAGG